AGCAUAAAAAUCCCAUUCCUCCUUAAACGAGCCGGCAAGUACCGGCGAUACGAGCUAACUUCCGGUAAGUUAAACAGAGAGCGCAAGCUAACAUGACAACACAGUAUUUAUACAAUCACACACACACGCGCGUCUUUAUGACAGACAUUAGACAGGCAUGGAACUUACAGACGAUGCUUUCCGAAGGCACGACGUAACGGGAAACAACAUGAGAUGACACGUAACUCCGCGUAAUUCUCCGAUGUGAAAAAGUAUACGCUCGACUGGCCGUAGUAAAGAGCGACGGCGAAACUGCUGCGCGCGUAACGGGCGGAUAUCACCUUCAAAAUAAAACACUCUUCAGAUUUCCCGACAAUGAAACGUCACACAAGUAAACACAAAAUGCAGUUUUUAAGUGAUGAUAUUAUUUAAUAUGGGGAAAAAAACUAUCCAAACCUACAUGGCCCCAUGUGAAACAGUAAUUGCCCCCCUUGUAAAAUCAUGAGGUCACUGUGGUUAGUCACAUUUUUUGGAAAAUGUUACUUGCCACACCCAGGCCUGAUUACUGCCAGACCUAUUGAAACAAGAGACCACUUAAAUAGAACCUGUCAGACAAAGUGAAGUCGGCCAAAAGACACCAAAAAAGACAUCAUGCCGCGAUCUAAAGCAAUUCAGGAACAAAUGAGAAACAAAGUAAUUGACAUCUAUCGGUCUGGAAAAGGUUACAAAGACCUUUGUAAAGCUUUGGGACUCCAGAGAACCACGGUGAGGGCCAUUAUUCACAAAUGGAGAAAACAUGGAACAGUGGGCAACCUUUCCAUGAGUGGCCAGCCGACAAAAUUACCCCAAUAGCGCAGCGACGACUCAUCUAAGAGGUCACAAAAGAACCAAGAACAACAUCUAAAGAACUGCAGGCCUCACUCAGUGUUCAUGACUCCACCAUAAGAAAGAGACUGGGCAAAAAUGGCCUGCAUGGCAGAGUUCCAAGAACAAAAAGAACAUUAAGGCUCGUCUCAAUUUUGCCAAAAAAACAUCUUGAUGAUCCCCAAGACUUUUGGGGAAAUCCUCUGUGGACUGACGAGACAAAAGUUGAACGUGGUAGUGUGAUGGUGUGGGGCUGUUUUGCUGCUUCAGGACCAGGAAGACUUGCUGUGAUAAAUGGAACCAUGAAUUCUGCUGUCUACCAAAAAAUCCUGAAGGACAAUGUGCGGCCAUCUGUUCGUGACCUGAGGCUGAAGCCAACUUGGGUUCUGCAGCAGGACAAUGAUCCGAAGCACACCAGCAAGUCCACUUCUGAAUGGCUAAAGAAAAACAAAAUGAAGACUUUGGAGUGGUCUAGUCAAAGUCCUGACCUGGUCUCCCCAACACUGUAAAUGUCCUGAAAUGAAGGGUCGUCCUCCAUGACGUCAAUGCAGAGAGGCUUAUUUUGCCCUCUCGUCCUGAGACUGUAAAUGAGGUGAAAAUAAGUGGAAUCUGGCCUGUGACUUCUGGCUUCAGUUUCAUGACCCAGAGUUUGACAAUGCCCUUCCCAAUUAUCCGCAUGGAGAAACAUUGGAGACCUAGAGGAUUGAGAUGGUAGAGCAGUUCAAGAAGACAUCGAUGGAAAAGGACAUGAUUCUCAUCUAUCAACAUAUGUAGUGCACCUUUGCACUCAGGCAUGAAGAAACUGUGGAUUCAGCUCCUCAUUUCCAAACUAAAAGAGAGACGACCUGCACUCUUUAGUGAAGCUCAACUCUACGAAUUCCACAGAAUCACCAAUCAAUAAAAAGCAACCCAAGAGGGGCAGUGGCUCUGGUGGCAGUAGUGAAUGAAGAUCAGGUUCCUGCAGGAGUUCACAAUCAGGUUGUAAUGGCUCACACACUGGUCUACGCUCUCCAUUUGAGCUACCCUGAGAAGCUCAGUGGCUUCUUAGACACGUAGACUAUUUUUGGUAACUUUACAAUAAAAUGGACUCUUAUUGUUAUUAUUAUUGUGAAGUCAAACUAAAGAAAUAAUUAAUAAACUCAUGUUGCAAACCGGAAAGGAACCUUUCGGCAGUCCGAGUUGCCGCACGGACUAUAAAAGAGGUGGCACACAACAUUAGCGAAGACGCAAACUGAAGCAGUGCUUAGCGCAAACAUAUCCAACCCCGUGCAAACAAAUCUACAAACGCCAGAGAGGCAGCCGGUAAGACACCAAGCCCAUCAGGAGACCCAGCGGACAAUUGAAAUGAAAUGUUUGUGCAGGCGAUAGCCGCUAGCGUUAGCCGCUAGCGUUAGCCACGGGGCCGAACCGGCAGUGCGGUCGUUAACCCUAUAAAUGCCAGUGUGUGUCACGUUUGAUCCUCAUUUAUAAUUUAAUGAUGUCAUGAUUGUUUAAGUUAAGAACAUGAUUGUUGAGUGAGCUUAUAUGUUGCAGAUAAAUUAGUUAAAAUGAUUAUGAUAUUAUAUUAUUGUGGUGACAUUAUUUAAAUUAAGUAAAUGUAAAAUAUUUAAAAUCUGAAAUUAACUUAAUGAAAUCCCUAAAUGCAUUAAUAAUAACAGUAGAAGAAUUUAUGUUGCACUCUGUUUAAUUUAAGAGGAAAAAGGAAAUGAUUGUUAAAAAUUUAUAUUUUCCAGAACAUUGUAAAAACAACCUUUUUCUUGUUUAUUGUUUCAAAAGGUUUUUCACCUACCUACCUGCUUGCUUGCAAACUACCUGCUUGCUUGCAAACUACCUGCUUACCUGAAACCUUAAAAUCACAAAAUAAAAGAAGAUAAGAGGAAAAGAAAAGUGUGGUUAUUGAGUGAAGUCCAGCAACUCUGGGUAGAUGUCCAACUCCUUCAAGUGGAGAUUGCACAAAGAAGGGGAGAAC